rnacentral:lncRNA from 1 species
AGAUGAUGGUCUUGUCUCUAUAGCUGAUAUUUCAUGCAACAACAAUAACCAAAAUCAUGAUAAUAAUAAUAACAAGAACAAGGGUGUUACUAAUCAGUACCCUUUAAUUUCUAGGCCACUUUAUUAUACUGUUUCAUCAAGAAGAAGAAAUAGCUUGAGAAAUCUCUCUUCUCUUUCUUCUUCAUCAUCUUCUUCUUCAUCCUUGUUGUCUCCAAGAUCUGUUGUUACUGCUGCUAAGUACUGUGAUGGUAGAUUUGAAGAACCACAACAACAUUUCUUGGAUGCUUGUU